rnacentral:rRNA from 1 species
AUUGAACGCUGGCGGCAUGCUUUACACAUGCAAGUCGAACGGCAGCGCGGGCUUCGGCCUGGCGGCGAGUGGCGAACGGGUGAGUAAUACAUCGGAACGUGCCCAGUAGUGGGGGAUAGCUCGGCGAAAGCCGGAUUAAUACCGCAUACGACCUGAGGGUGAAGGCGGGGGAUCUUCGGACCUCGCGCUAUUGGAGCGGCCGAUGGCAGAUUAGCUAGUUGGUGGGGUAAAGGCCUACCAAGGCGACGAUCUGUAGCUGGUCUGAGAGGACGACCAGCCACACUGGGACUGAGACACGGCCCAGACUCCUACGGGAGGCAGCAGUGGGGAAUUUUGGACAAUGGGCGAAAGCCUGAUCCAGCAAUGCCGCGUGUGUGAUGAAGGCCUUCGGGUUGUAAAGCACUUUUGGCGGGAACGAAAAGGACUGUGCCAAUACCACGGUUCGAUGACGGUACCCGCAGAAUAAGCACCGGCUAACUACG